rnacentral:rRNA from 1 species
CCUACGGGGGGCAGCAGUGGGGAAUAUUUCACAAUGGGGGAAACCCUGAUGCAGCGACGCCGCGUGAGUGAAGAAGUAUUUCGGUAUGUAAAGCUCUAUCAGCAGGGAAGAAAAUGACGGUACCUGACUAAGAAGCCCCGGCUAACUACGUGCCAGCAGCCGCGGUAAUACGUAGGGGGCAAGCGUUAUCCGGAUUUACUGGGUGUAAAGGGAGCGUAGACGGCACUGCAAGUCUGAAGUGAAAUCCCAUGGCUAAACCAUGGAACUGCUUUGGAAACUGUGUAGCUGGAGUGCAGGAGGGGUAAGCGGAAUGCCUAGUGUAGCGGUGAAAUGCGUAGAUAUUAGGAGGAACACCAGCGGCGAAGGCGGCUUACUGGACUGAAACUGACGUUGAGGCUCGAAAGCGUGGGGAGCAAACAGGAUUAGAUACCCGAGUAGUC